rnacentral:rRNA from 1 species
AGCGAACGCUGGCGGCAGGCCUAACACAUGCAAGUCGAACGAAGUCUUCGGACUUAGUGGCGGACGGGUGAGUAACACGUGGGAACGUGCCUUUAGGUUCGGAAUAACUCAGGGAAACUUGUGCUAAUACCGAAUGUGCCCUUCGGGGGAAAGAUUUAUCGCCUUUAGAGCGGCCCGCGUCUGAUUAGCUAGUUGGUGGGGUAAUGGCCCACCAAGGCUACGAUCAGUAGCUGGUCUGAGAGGAUGGCCAGCCACAUUGGGACUGAGACACGGCCCAAACUCCUACGGGAGGCAGCAGUGGGGAAUCUUGCGCAAUGGGCGAAAGCCUGACGCAGCCAUGCCGCGUGGAUGAUGAAGGUCUUAGGAUUGUAAAAUCCUUUCACCGGUGAAGAUAAUGACUGUAGCCGGGGAAGAAGCCCCGGCUAACUUCGUGCCAGCAGCCGCAGUAACAC